rnacentral:rRNA from 1 species
GAUGAACGCUGGCGGCGUGCCUAAUACAUGCAAGUCGAGCGAACGGACGAGAAGCUUGCUUCUCUGAUGUUAGCGGCGGACGGGUGAGUAACACGUGGAUGACCUACCUAUAAGACUGGGAUAACUUCGGGAAACCGGAGCUAAUACCGGAUAAUAUUUUGAACCGCAUGGUUCAAAAGUGAAAGACGGUCUUGCUGUCACUUAUAGAUGGAUCCGCGCUGCAUUAGCUAGUUGGUAAGGUAACGGCUUACCAAGGCAACGAUGCAUAGCCGACCUGAGAGGGUGAUCGGCCACACUGGAACUGAGACACGGUCCAGACUCCUACGGGAGGCAGCAGUAGGGAAUCUUCCGCAAUGGGCGAAAGCCUGACGGAGCAACGCCGCGUGAGUGAUGAAGGUCUUCGGAUCGUAAAACUCUGUUAUUAGGGAAGAACAUAUGUGUAAGUAACUGUGCACAUCUUGACGGUACCUAAUCAGAAAGCCACGGCUAACUACGUGCCAGCAGCCGCGGUAAUACGUAGGUGGCAAGCGUUAUCCGGAAUUAUUGAGCGUAAAGCGCGCGUAGGCGGUUUUUUAAGUCUGAUGUGAAAGCCCACGGCUCAACCGUGGAGGGUCAUUGGAAACUGGAAAACUUGAGUGCAGAAGAGGAAAGUGGAAUUCCAUGUGUAGCGGUGAAAUGCGCAGAGAUAUGGAGGAACACCAGUGGCGAAGGCGACUUUCUGGUCUGUAACUGACGCUGAUGUGCGAAAGCGUGGGGAUCAAACAGGAUUAGAUACCCUGGUAGUCCACGCCGUAAACGAUGAGUGCUAAGUGUUAGGGGGUUUCCGCCCCUUAGUGCUGCAGCUAACGCAUUAAGCACUCCGCCUGGGGAGUACGACCGCAAGGUUGAAACUCAAAGGAAUUGACGGGGACCCGCACAAGCGGUGGAGCAUGUGGUUUAAUUCGAAGCAACGCGAAGAACCUUACCAAAUCUUGACAUCCUUUGACAACUCUAGAGAUAGAGCCUUCCCCUUCGGGGGACAAAGUGACAGGUGGUGCAUGGUUGUCGUCAGCUCGUGUCGUGAGAUGUUGGGUUAAGUCCCGCAACGAGCGCAACCCUUAAGCUUAGUUGCCAUCAUUAAGUUGGGCACUCUAAGUUGACUGCCGGUGACAAACCGGAGGAAGGUGGGGAUGACGUCAAAUCAUCAUGCCCCUUAUGAUUUGGGCUACACACGUGCUACAAUGGACAAUACAAAGGGCAGCGAAACCGCGAGGUCAAGCAAAUCCCAUAAAGUUGUUCUCAGUUCGGAUUGUAGUCUGCAACUCGACUACAUGAAGCUGGAAUCGCUAGUAAUCGUAGAUCAGCAUGCUACGGUGAAUACGUUCCCGGGUCU